AACAAACACGCAAUGCAUCAUACAAUCAAGUGUUUUUUCUUUAAAAAUAUAGCAAUCUUUAACUUACUAUUGUUUGCAGUGAGUGAAUUUAAAACCAUCGGGAGAGGAGCUGACGUCACUCCCAUCUGCAGCAAUGCAACAGAGAACAUAACGCUCAUAGUGUGUAAGAUCAGAACUAACAGGACUGGAGCAGAGUGUCGUCUGCUGUAUCGAUACGGAGGAGACUUUGAGCACGAAUGUGACUCCAGGUUCACUCUUAAGAUGGAGAAUCAGACCGUGUUUCUCCACCUGACUGGUCUCACACCAGUGGACAGUGGGAACUACACCUGUGAGUGUUCACGUGGGGGCGAGACCGUUACCCUCCAUCUGAAUAUCACCGUGGAAGAAGAGAGAGAGAGCGGCGUGACGUCACACACGCGGCUUCUAAACGCGUUGAUCGGUGCAACAACAGUCAUCUGUAUAACUGCAGUUAUCUUUGGGUUGAUCUACA